CUUAUCUACAACAAACAGUUCAGGAAGCCAGCCUCCUAUACGUCGUGGGGAUCCACUUGGAACAUCAGAGAAGAUUAUUUUAAACUGAAGACAUUUGAGAUUCAACAGAUGCAGAAAAAAGUCUUCUUGGACCUUGUCUUAUGAACAGUAGCAACUUCUGAAAAAUGAGGCUACUAUAAAUCUCCUUUCCUGAUAGUACAAAAAUCUUAUUUGAAGCAAAUCAAUCAAUCCUGCAUAUGGCUGAACGAUCAAUAUGAGGUUUUGGCGAGAAUCAACUCUAAAACACAUAGAAUUGCUCAAAGCAAACAGUAGGAGAGAAAUCUAAUUCCUCAUGUUCCUCUUCACCCCCAUCUUUCUUGGUCUUACAAAUGCCCAGCUAACUUUCAAACCCGUUAUGGCAUGAAAAAUAAAUACAACACUUGAUCCUAGAUUGGAACCUGAAGAAGAAAGAGAAGGAAGGAAAGGGAAUGCCUUAGCUCGGACUGUCAUAACAAAGUGGAUAUUUGGUAUUAAUGAUUCAGGAGGCAUCUACUGAUUCAGAGCUAAGAAGAUAGAGCUUUAAAAGGACUUAACAGAUUGUAAGGAAUGCAGAUUACUCUGUGAUGGAGAAAACUACUUACAAUGUAAACAACUGACAUUUUUCUCUCUUUAGCUCAGCAAGUGGAAUGAAGACUUGGAUUAUUUUGACAAAUAAUAUGCCUAAAACGCAGCUGCAGGGCAUAUAGCAGGCAUGUUUCAGAUCUCAAAAUUAUGUAUCGUAUUUGUCACUGUAGGAAACUAAACAUACUUUAAAAAGUCUUUGUUUCUGACACUGAAAUCAUUCUUAUUAAUACACACUAUGUACACUCCUAUAUAUUGUGUCUGCUUUCGUGAA